rnacentral:rRNA from 1 species
UACGGAGGGGGCUAGCGUUGUUCGGAAUUACUGGGCGUAAAGCGCACGUAGGCGGCUUUGUAAGUUAGAGGUGAAAGCCCAGGGCUUAACCCUGGAAUUGCCUUUAAGACUGCAUCGCUAGAAUCGUGGAGAGGUGAGUGGAAUUCCGAGUGUAGAGGUGAAAUUCGUAGAUAUUCGGAAGAACACCAGUGGCGAAGGCGACUCACUGGACACAUAUUGACGCUGAGGCGCGAAAGCUAGGGGAGCAAACAGG